rnacentral:rRNA from 1 species
GCUGGCGGCGUGCUUAACACAUGCAAGUCGAGCGGUAAGGCCCUUCGGGGUACACGAGCGGCGAACGGGUGAGUAACACGUGGGUGAUCUGCCUCGUACUUCGGGAUAAGCCUGGGAAACUGGGUCUAAUACCGGAUAUGACCUUCGGAUGCAUGUCUGAGGGUGGAAAGAUUUAUCGGUACGAGAUGGGCCCGCGGCCUAUCAGCUUGUUGGUGGGGUAAUGGCCUACCAAGGCGACGACGGGUAGCCGGCCUGAGAGGGCGACCGGCCACACUGGGACUGAGACACGGCCCAGACUCCUACGGGAGGCAGCAGUGGGGAAUAUUGCACAAUGGGCGAAAGCCUGAUGCAGCGACGCCGCGUGAGGGAUGACGGCCUUCGGGUUGUAAACCUCUUUCGACAGGGACGAAGCGCAAGUGACGGUACCUGUAGAAGAAGCACCGGCCAACUACGUGCCAGCAGCCGCGGUAAUACGUAGGGUGCGAGCGUUGUCCGGAAUUACUGGGCGUAAAGAGCUUGUAGGCGGUUCGUCGCGUCGUUCGUGAAAACUUGGGGCUCAACCCCAAGCUUGCGGGCGAUACGGGCGGACUAGAGUACUUCAGGGGAGACUGGAAUUCCUGGUGUAGCGGUGAAAUGCGCAGAUAUCAGGAGGAACACCGGUGGCGAAGGCGGGUCUCUGGGAAGUAACUGACGCUGAGAAGCGAAAGCGUGGGUAGCGAACAGGAUUAGAUACCCUGGUAGUCCACGCCGUAAACGGUGGGUA